AAGGGUAGAGCUCAGUGGUAGAGCGCGUGCUUAGCAUGCACGAGGUCCUGGGUUCAACCCAUGGUACCUCCG
rnacentral:tRNA from 1 species